UACGUAGGGUGCAAGCGUUAAUCGGAAUUACUGGGCGUAAAGCGUGCGCAGGCGGCUUUGCAAGUCCGAUGUGAAAUCCCCGGGCUUAACCUGGGAACUGCAUUUGUGACUGCAUGGCUAGAGUGCGGCAGAGGGGGAUGGAAUUCCGCGUGUAGCAGUGAAAUGCGUAGAUAUGCGGAGGAACACCGAUGGCGAAGGCAGCCUCCUGGGCCAGCACUGACGCUCAUGCACGAAAGCGUGGGGAGCAAACAGG
rnacentral:rRNA from 1 species